rnacentral:rRNA from 1 species
AGGAUGAACGCUAGCGGCAGGCUAAUACAUGCAAGCCGAACGGCAAGUUGAGUAGCAAUACUUGACCUAGAGUGGCGUAAGGGUGCGUAACACGUAUGCAAUCUACCCUCAACAGGAGAAUAGCUCCCCGAAAGGGGAAUUAAUACUCCAUAAGAUCACACGAAGGCAUCUGAGAGUGAUUAAACUACAAGGGGUUGAGGAUGAGCAUGCGAUUGAUUAGUUAGUUGGUGAGGUAACGGCUCACCAAGACGAUGAUCAAUAGGGGAACUGAGAGGUUGAUCCCCCACACUGGCACUGAGAUACGGGCCAGACUCCUACGGGAGGCAGCAGUAGGGAAUAUUGGUCAAUGGGUGAGAGCCUGAACCAGCCAUGCCGCGUGCAGGAAGAAGGCCUUCUGGGUUGUAAACUGCUUUUGCCGGGGGAUAAAAUGGCUUUGCGAAGCUAAUUGAAGGUACCCGGUGAAUAAGCCACGGCUAACUACGUGCCAGCAGCCGCGGUAAUACGUAGGUGGCAAGCGUUGUCCGGAUUUAUUGGGUUUAAAGGGUGCGUAGGCGGUUCUUUAAGUCAGUGGUGAAAUACAGCCGCUUAACGGUUGAGGUGCCAUUGAUACUGAAGAACUUGAGUACAGACGAGGUAGGCGGAAUUGACGGUGUAGCGGUGAAAUGCUUAGAUAUCGUCAAGAACACCGAUAGCGAAGGCAGCUUACUAGACUGUAACUGACGCUGAGGCACGAAAGUGUGGGGAUCAAACAGGAUUAGAUACCCUGGUAGUCCACACUGUAAACGAUGAUUACUCGAUGUUGGCGAUACACAGCCAGCGUCUUAGCAAAAGCGAUAAGUAAU